UACGUAGGGGGCUAGCGUUGUCCGGAAUCAUUGGGCGUAAAGAGCGCGUAGGCGGCCCGGUAAGUCCGUUGUGAAAGUCAAAGGCUCAACCUUUGAAAGCCGAUGGAUACUGCCGGGCUAGAGUCCGGAAGAGGCGAGUGGAAUUCCUGGUGUAGCGGUGGAAUGCGCAGAUAUCAGGAGGAACACCUAUAGCGAAGGCAGCUCGCUGGGACGGUACUGACGCUGGGGCGCGAAAGCGUGGGGAGCGGACAGG
rnacentral:misc_RNA from 1 species